rnacentral:rRNA from 1 species
AUUGAACGCUGGCGGCAGGCUUAACACAUGCAAGUCGAGCGGAGACUUCGGUCUUAGCGGCGAACGGGUGAGGAAUGCCUGGGAAUCUGCCUGUUAGUGGGGGAUAACGUUCCGAAAGGAACGCUAAUACCGCAUACGUCCUACGGGAGAAAGCAGGGGACCUUUCGGGCCUUGCGCUAACAGAUGAGCCCAGGUCGGAUUAGCUAGUUGGUGGGGUAAAGGCUCACCAAGGCGACGAUCCGUAGCUGGUCUGAGAGGAUGAUCAGCCACACUGGAACUGAGACACGGUCCAGACUCCUACGGGAGGCAGCAGUGGGGAAUAUUGGACAAUGGGCGAAGCCUGAUCCAGCCAUGCCGCGUGUGUGAAGAAGGCCUUCGGGUU